CUAGGGCCUGGCCGAGACAGAUUAUUUGAUACAUUAUUAAAUGGCGUUAAAUUUUCAACCUCUAUUGACAUGGAAAGAUUGAUAAGACGUGUGAGGAUACAAAUUUGUUCGAAAAUUAUUUGAGCACCGCCAAGUCUCCAACCUUGAAGAUCUCAAUGUGAGUCUCUUAGUAACAAAAUAUUAAUUUUUGAAUUUAGUUUAGUAAUGUGAGUUUAGUUAUGUAUUUAAUUUUAAAUUUUAAAAGAGCAAUGGGGCAUUGAUUGAUAAACACGCGGGUUUACAACUUCUAGUAAGAACAACAUUAACCUUAGUCUCUUAAUUCGGGUUUUUAGACCAUGUUUAACGGCGCCUCUCGCGUGGGCUCUAAAGCCCAAACCCAUUAAAAAAAAAAAAAAUGAAAAGGGGUAAGAGGCGAGUGUCGUGAAACCCUACGGGAGAGGCGCCUCUUCGAUUCAUCGACUUCGUCUCUCUCUCUCUCUCUCUCUUCCCACCCAAAAUCUCUUCUUCUCAGACGAAAUUCACCAGAAAUCAAGUUCUACAGAGAGAGAUCUUCUUCUUCUUCGCCUCUGUGGCCGUGUUUGCGCAGCCGGCGAAACAAAGCUACCAUCAGACCACAUCGCUGGAGGUGAGCCAAAUCGCUGAGAAAAAAAACAGAGGUUAGAGCUUUUCUGUUUUGGUGUAUCUCUGAGUUGAAGAAGAGAAGGUUCUCAAGUGUGUUAUCGUAAAUCAUAGAGGGAGCCACAACAGGAUUCAUCAUACAUAAGAAGAUUCAGGUUGCGGCGAGUGUUCUACUGGAUCACAGACGGAGCGGCAGGAAGAUUCAUUGAACUCCAAAACAUCUGGGGAACAAGUCAGACACAUCCACAAAUGGCUUCAAGAAAACCGAUUGUUUGUGGCCUCUCAGCAAGAAGAAUCAUGCCACCUCUCCAACCAGAAGUUACCGAUGAGGAUGUUGUGGAUAACACACCAACUGAAGUAGAAGUGGUGGAGAUAUCAGAUGAAGAAGAAGACGAUAUGGUGGAGUUAUCAUGCGAAGAAUAUAGGAGGAAUAUGGGCUAUUUGAUUAGGGUGAAGGAAUCAGAAGGUGACAUUGAACCUGAGUUCAGAAGGAUGUUGCAAAGGAUGCGUGAAGAAGUGAAGAAGCUGAGACAGGGUAUCAAGGUAGAAGAAGGACAAUCCUCUAAGAAGAAGAGAAGAAGCUGAGAGUCACGGGUUUGUGUGUUGUCAUCAAACUGUUGUCCGUUUGUGUAGUCAUGAGACUACUUUUGUAUUGGAGUCUGUCAUGAGUCACGAGACUCUUGUUUGUGUCUGUCAUGUUGUGUCUGAAUAGAGUCACGAGACUCAUGUUUAUUUGUGUCUGGUUGUGUAGUCAUGACACUACUCUUGUCUGUUUCUGUAUUCACGAGACUUGGUUGUAUUGUUAGUACUCUUUUUAUAAAUUAAGGUGAAGCUCUCAUUUUACAACACACAACGCUUCUUCUCUGCUUCUCUCAUUAGAGAAACUCAACGCUUUUCAUCACACCACAACACUUCUUCAUCAGACCACAACGCUUCUCCUCUUAUUCUAAAACACAACGCUUCUCUCAUUCUAAAACACAAAGCUUCUUCUUCUCUUCUUUUACUCGAUAUGGGAUCUUCUUCUCAAAAUCCUUUUGAGGGAUUGGAUAGUCAAUAUGUUGAAGAAACAUUUGAUCAAUAUUUUGAUCAAUAUGUUGAAGAAACCUUUGAUCAACAUUUUGAUCAAUAUGUUGAAGAAACAUUUGACCAGUCCUUCGAGAAUUUUACCAUUAAUCAAGAAAAAGAAAAGAAAAAAAAGAAAAAAAAGAGUUUACAUCGAAAGAAAUCGUGAAGAAGGCGAUCAACGUUUAUGGAAUGACUAUUUCAGUGAAACUCCAACAUAUCCUCAUAAUCUAUUCCGACGACGUUUUAGGAUGAACAAGUCUUUGUUCGUGCAUAUUGUUGAUCGACUCUCCAAUGAAGUUGAAUUCUUUCGACAAAAGAAAGAUUGUCGGGGAAGGCUUAGUCUCUCUCCUCUUCAGAAGUGUACGGCAGCGAUUCGUUGCUUAGCAUAUGGUACUACGGCUGAUACGGUUGAUGAAUACCUCCGACUCGGUUCAACUACAACUCGGUCAUGUUUGGAAAAUUUUGUGGAUGGAAUAAUAUAUUUAUUCAGCGAGGAGUACCUAAGAAGACCUGCACCGGCUGAUCUUCAACGUGGUGAAUAUCGUGAAUUUCCCGGGAUGAUAGGAAGCAUCGAUUGUAUGCAUUGGGAGUGGAAGAAUUGUCCCACCGCUUGGAAAGGUCAAUAUUCUCGUGGUUCGGGAAAACCCACAAUCGUUUUAGAGGCGGUUGCAUCGUAUGAUCUAUGGAUAUGACAUGCAUUUUUUGGACCUCCAGGUACCUUAAAUGAUAUCAAUGUUCUUGAUCGCUCACCUGUUUUUGAUGACAUAAUAAAAGGUGAAGCUCCGCAAGUCACCUUCCAUGUCAAUGGAAGAUAGUAUCAUAUGGCUUACUAUCUCACCGACGGUAUUUACCCGAAAUGGGCAACUUUUAUCCAAUCAAUUUCAAUGCCACAAGGGCCGAAAGCGGUUUUAUUUGCUCAACAACAAGAAGCUGUCCGAAAAGAUGUGGAGCGUGCUUUUUGAGUCUUGCAAGCUCGUUUUGCCAUUGUUAAAAAUCCGGCACUUUUUUGGGAUAAAGUCAAAAUUGGAAAGAUUAUGAGAGCAUGUAUCAUACUCCAUAACAUGAUAGUGGAAGACGAACGAGAUGGCUACACUCUAUAUAAUGUUACAGAGUUUCAACAAGGAGAAGACUCCGGAAGUUCACAUGUGGAUCUCGAUUUUGAUAUGGGUAUGCCUACAAAUAUCGCCAAUAUGAUGGAUGCUCGAACUAGAAUUCGUGAUAAACCAAUGCAUGAACAACUGAAAGCUGAUUUGGUUGAACAUCUAUGGGGUAAAUUCAGACGUGAUGAAGACAACAAUUGAGCUCGGAUGUUUCUUUUAAAUUAUUCUCGUUUAUUUUACUAAUCUUUGUUUUACUGUGUUUUUAAUUAAUGUUUAAAAUGUUUUCUUUUAAUAUGUUUAAUUUAAAAAAUAUAUUAAAUCUUCAUAAAAUUUUAGUUUAAUAAAAAAUAUUCCUUAAGAACCCAACAUUAAGAACUUUACCAUUGGAGCCAAUAAAUUCAGUGUCUCUUAACUACAACCUCUUAACUAUCAUUAAUUAUUAAAAAAU